GACGAGCGCUGGCGGCGUGCUUAGCACAUGCAAGUCGAACGGAAAGGCCCUGCUUUUGUGGGGUGCUCGAGUGGCGAACGGGUGAGUAACACGUGAGUAACCUGCCCUUGACUUUGGGAUAACUUCAGGAAACUGGGGCUAAUACCGGAUAGGAGCUCCUGCUGCAUGGUGGGGGUUGGAAAGUUUCGGCGGUUGGGGAUGGACUCGCGGCUUAUCAGCUUGUUGGUGGGGUAGUGGCUUACCAAGGCUUUGACGGGUAGCCGGCCUGAGAGGGUGACCGGCCACAUUGGGACUGAGAUACGGCCCAGACUCCUACGGGAGGCAGCAGUGGGGAAUAUUGCACAAUGGGCGGAAGCCUGAUGCAGCAACGCCGCGUGCGGGAUGACGGCCUUCGGGUUGUAAACCGCUUUCGCCUGUGACGAAGCGUGAGUGACGGUAAUGGGUAAAGAAGCACCGGCUAACUACGUG
rnacentral:rRNA from 1 species